GUUUCCGGAUGAUGGUUCAAAUGUACAAUUAAUUGAGAAAGAGAUGACGGCCUGUGAUCUUUCUGCAGCCGGUUAAUCGACAAUUCAUUGCUAUUAUUUGUUUAGAUACAAGCGUCAAAAGCUAAAACGUUUUCUUCAGGAGCGCGCACUUACAGAUUUAACUUUGAUAAGCGACAUGUUAAAAACAUUGAUCGACAAAAAGCUCUUGAAAAAACUCAGGCUUGUCAGUCACAUGUAAUUUUCGCUACGCAUGCUGAAUGGAAACCUCGACCUGUUAGGCGAGUAAUUGAAUACGAGGAUUAAUGGAGCAUUUACUUAACCAUGUAAACUCAGGUGCUCAGUAAACUUCCAGGGGAUUAUCAGAAACGCCCUCGAGACACUUAGCGGUCAACAAAGCGAGAGAGACCCGUUAUAUAAACGGGAAGUCAUCGAGGGAAAAUCACACUUGGAAGAACGCGCGCCUUUACUCGAUAGCACCAGGUAAAGAGAUGGAUAAGAAGAUUAUUGUACUGCUGUGCUUCGUUUUGCUUUGUGUGAGUUUCUCAGAGACUGAAGGAUGGGCAGCGUCCUCGAAUUUCCCAUCAGGAGUCUGGGGCAAGAGAAGUAUGGAGCAGGCUAAAAGACAGAGAGACUUCUGUAACAGGUGCGCCAGCUUCUGUAGCUAUGACAACCAGAAGCGCUCCGAUGUGCCCGCAAGGCCCGCUGGGAUAGAUCACUAAGCCUCUAAUCCACACAAGACCUGGUAUACUCUGGAAAGUCACAAACCUGCACCAACAUGAUGUAUAGUCUAGGCUGAACUUGGUGUAUCGAAGAUGUAUUUUAUUUUUUUAUUUGCUUUACUCUUGCUUAUAAAGAACUAUACAGUUUCUUUCGCAUUUGACUUGUAUCUAUUCAUUGCUGUUGUAAUAGAAUAAUAAAAGAAGACCUCCUUCA